rnacentral:rRNA from 1 species
UGAAUACGAGAUGCUACGGCGUCGAAGCAGUCUAUGUCAUACUUCCAAGAAAAGCUCGCACUGUCAUAAACAAAUAAUGCCUGUACCAUAACCGACACAGGUGGGUAGGUAGAGUAUACUAAGGGGCGCGAGAUAACUCUCUCUAAGGAACUCGGCAAAAUGACUCCGUAACUUCGGGAGAAGGAGUGCCUUAUUUAUAAGGUUGCAAUAACAAGAUCCAAGCAACUGUUUAUCGAAAACACAGGUCUCCGCUAAGUCGUAAGACGAUGUAUGGGGGCUGACGCCUGCCCAGUGCCAGAAGGUUAAAGAAGUUGGUUAGCAUUCGCGAAGCUGAUAACUGAAGCCCUGGUGAACGGCGGCCGUAACAAUAACGGUCCUAAGGUAGCGAAAUUCCUUGUCGGGUAAGUUCCGACCCGCACGAAAGGCGUAAUGAUUUGGAUACUGUCUCGGAGAGGGGCUCGGUGAAAUAGACUUGUCUGUGAAGAUGCGGACUACCUGCACCAGGACAGAAAGACCCUAUGAAGCUUUACUGUAACUUGAGAUUGAAAUUGGACUUUACUUGCGCAGUAUAGGUGGGAGGCGUUGAUAGUAUUCUUGCGGGAUUAUUUGAGCCAUCAGUGAGAUACCACUCUUGUAAUGUUAGAUUUCUAACUUUGUAUCAUUAUCUGGUCAAAGGACAGUUUCAGGCGGGCAGUUUGACUGGGGCGGUCGCCUCCUAAACGGUAACGGAGGCGCACAAAGGUUUCCUCUGAACGGGUAGAAAUCGUAUCUAGAGUGUAAAGGCAUAAGGAAGCUUGACUGUGAGACCUACAAGUCGAGCAGGGACGAAAGUCGGUCUUAGUGAUCUGACGGUGCUGAGUGGAAAGGCCGUCACUCAACGGAUAAAAGUUACUCUAGGAUAACAGGCUGAUCUCCCCCAAGAGUUCACAUCGACGGGGAGGUUUGGCACCUCGAUGUCGGCUCAUCGCAUCCUGGGGCGGUAGUACGUCCCAAGGGUUGGGCUGUUCGCCCAUGAAAGCGGUACGCGAGCUGGGUUCAGAACGUCGUGAGACAGUUCGGUCCAUAUCCGGUGUAGGCGUUAGAAUAUUGAGAGGAGCCUUCUUUAGUACGAGAGGACCGAGAAGGACAUACCUCUGGUGUACCAGAUAUCGUGCCAACGGUAAACGCUGGGUAGCUAUGUAUGGAGUGGAUAACCGCUGAAAGCAUCUAAGUGGGAAGCCCACCUCAAGAUAAGUAUUCUC